CCAACGGUUGUUUUGACAACCACUAACAAACUAGUAUUGAAUUUGU
rfam:Caenorhabditis elegans chromosome X